rnacentral:rRNA from 1 species
UACGAAGGGGGCUAGCGUUGCUCGGAAUGACUGGGCGUAAAGGGCGCGUAGGCGGUUUGUACAGUCAGGUGUGAAAUUCCCGGGCUCAACCUGGGGGCUGCACUUGAUACGUAUGGACUGGAGUGGGGAAGAGGGUCGUGGAAUUCCCAGUGUAGAGGUGAAAUGCGUAGAUAUUGGGAGGAACACCAGUGGCGAAGGCGGCUCACUGGACCGGUUCUGACGCUGAGGCGCGAAAGCGUGGGGAGCAAACGGGG